UCAGUUCGGAUUGGAGUCUGCAACCCGACUCCAUGAAGCUGGAUUCGCUAGUAAUCGCGCAUCAGCCAUGGCGCGGUGAAUACGUUCCCGGGCCUUGUACACACCGCCCGUCAAGCCAUGGAAGCCGGGAGUGCCUGAAGUGCGUAAGCGUAAGCAGCGCCCUAAGGUAAAACCGGUGACUGGGGCUAAGUCGUAACAAGGUAUC
rnacentral:rRNA from 1 species